rnacentral:lncRNA from 1 species
UUUUGUUUUUACUGGAGGCUCAGGUGGCACAUGACAGUUCAUAAAAUGGCUUCAGAGGUGUUGGGGGGAGGUCGAAGGGAAACAAAAAAUAAAUGGGUGGGGAAGAAAAACAAUCAGGAGGAGGUAUGAGCUGGCUGGUUCCUUCUCAGCCUGACUAGGGAGGGAGGUGAUGCCUCGGAACAAUAAGGAUGGAUCCCUUCCUUCAACCCAUGCUAGGGGAGAGGGAAAAAAAAGAGAAAAAAGCCAAAGGCUGGUGCUUUGGCCCUCCUGAGUCUCAAGGGAAAAGCCGAUGUUUUGAUGUCAUGAAUUAUGGGAAAGUGGGGAGGGGGAUGCUGGGUAGAGUCAGUUGGAAACUGGCAGAUACCUAAGAGAAAGAGAGGGAGACCAAUCAUAAAGGGUCACUUGGCAGAAUCCACCACCCCUCCCCCUCUCCGGCUCUUGGUGAGAUGUAGCACUCACCAGAUGGUAGCUCUGGGUGUCCUCUGAGUUGGAAUCACUCCAGUAUGGUGGUGGGGGGGUCCCCACUGUUGAUAGGCGCGGAGGUCUGAAGAGCAGUGGUGAACUGAGACUUACUUGUUUACAGCCCCCUACUUCAACCUUUUCUUAACUUUCCUCUUCUCAUCCCUUCCAACCAGUUCUCACACUUCACACCCCAAAGAUGGGCAUGGGGAUGGGACAUGCAAAGGCACCCUGGGCUUGACUUGCCUGCAUAGGGGUUUCCUGGCCCAACACUGGACCCUGAAGGGGAAGACAAAACAACAGUCUUACCUUCGGUACCUGGGCCGGAAUCUGGGUGGGGGCACCCGUUCAUCUCCCUGCUGUUGAUCACCCUCCAAUGGUGCUGUCUCCUUGGGUUCUACCCCAUCAGAGCCCUGGGAAUACACAAAGGCCUAGGUGGGCUGUGGAACGCCUGAUGUCUUUGGAGCUUCCUUGCUCUUCGUUCUACUUCCUGUGAGGACCACAGUCUCUGCCCUCACAACUCCCCAACUUCUUUCCAUAAUGUAAGAGAACUAGCCUCCCCGGCUGCAACUCUCCUCUCACCUCUAUGGGCUGUUGCUGGUUGGGGGGCCGAGGGCCUCGCACAAACCGCCUUCGAUAGAAGAAGGGUGGUGGGCGCCGUCGUCUAGGUCGCUGCCCCGAGUCCUCUGCCCGCUCCCCUUCGCUGCCAGGUUCUGUCCCACCUGAGGGAGCCUCUGCCACCAUAGGUGGUGGGGCAGCUGGGCGAGGCCGAGGAAUGAACCUCCGGAACCUACGUCGAUUAGGGGCAUAGCGGCUGCCCUUCACUGGUACCCCCCCAGGCCCAGUGACAUUAGCAGCUUCUGCACCCUGGGGAGGUAGAGGGGGAGCAAUCAGAACCUGUUCUGACAACACACACACACACAGUACUUACAAACCUGCCAGAUCACUGGUGUCCCACUUCUUCAGGCCCAAGUCCUCUACCCUAUCACUCCUCAAAACCACUCCUCCUUUGUCCCCUCCCCCGAGGGGCAGCAGAAAGAGUUUGUACCCAUCUGAGAAGAAACAACUUGUCCUUAGAAAUAACUGCCACAUUCCCCCCAGAGUGUAAAGACAGGACAGGAUGAGAUAGAGAGAGCCACUGUCCCUCCUUCAUUCCAGAGGACUGACUGAGGGUCCUGUUAGGGCUGGGGUCCCGUGUAGAAAACAGACAUGGAAGUGCUUGGUGAACUAAAGAGAAGAAACCCACAUGUUACUGGCUGGUGACAGGGAUGGGUUCUUUAGGACAUGUCCUAGAGCAGCUCUAGCGUUCACAGGCAGAGGCAGAGCUGGUCCCAGGAGGGCCAGAGCUUCGGCUGACCUCCAGGCCACCCUCCCACAGUUCUGGCCAACUCCACCCCACAGCAGCACCCAAACCUUCUCUCCUUCCACGACAUCAAACUCCACAGUCUCCCCAUCUCCAACACUCCGCAGAAACUUCCUGGGGUUGUUUCUCUUAAUAGCUGUCUGGUUGGGGGGAAAAGUCAUGAGAAAGGUGAGGGCAGCAAAGCCAGGAUCCCUUGGACCAGCUUCAGCCUCCACCCAACUCCACUCUUGGUGACAUUUUAUUGGAGUCUAGGGCUGGAGGGCAGAGCAUGAAAAUGGUCAAAGGGGGAGGGGGAGGGCCUGGAGCACAGCUCCACAAGACAGAGAUAUAUUAGUAGGGCAAAGUCAAGAGCUAGAGGUCUGAGGGAGCCGCUAUCCCCAAGAUGUCCUUCCUCCCCACUGUACCCCUCAAGGACUUCAAGACAUGGAGGCAGUAGGAACUCAGGAGCAAAACAGGCUGAAGAACAUCUCAAGUUGCAAAGUGGGUGAAACGUGCUGUGCUUCUUACCUCGAUCCCACCGAGCACUUCCACCACAGCAGUGGUUCUCAAACUAGCAUCAGAAUCACCUGGGAGCGGGUCAAAACUGAGUGCCCAGGCCCCGCCCCGCCCCGAGGCGGAUUAAUUCAGUGGCUUGGGGCGGGGCCUGAGGAUUCAGGUGAUGCUGCUGCUGGCCCACAGAACACACUGAGACUCACUGCACCCAAGUGUCUCUGGCCUUUCCCUCAGAAAAUUGCCUGAUUCCUUCCUGUGGUGUUAACAGGUCCCAGGAGGUGGUGGGCAUGCCAUGCCCUGAGGGCAGCACACACACCUCUGACAGCUGUUUAGCAACUCAAUGAAAGUUGGGUUAAUGGUGGUUCAUACAGGCACCUGAGGCAGCUGGGAAGCCAGCUAUAGGCAGGCUACUGUGAGGAGCCAGAGAAAUACAUUGUGUGCAGCUAGGGUUAUGGCAAAGGCUUCCAGAGAGGGAGAAGCCUCCCCUCAGAAAGGCAGCCUAGCUCUUACCUGGUGAACAAAGACAUCCUCCUUGGUGUCAUUCCUGCAGAACAGGAUGGGUUGUUAAGGGGGUGAUGGGCAAGGCACUCAGUUCCACCGAGGCCUCCCUAGCUGCCCAUCCCCAAGAUGGGCCCAGCCUCUCCACUACCCCAGUUCCUGGGGGCAUGAUGGGACCCUGGGAGCAAGAACAGCAAGCCACCAGGGCUCUAAAAGCUGGUACAAAGAGAGGCCCACUGUAAAUCCACAGUGAGGGGCGUGGACUUCCUAAGAAAAGGUAGGAGGUGGUGGUAAAGGCACCUUGAAGGAGCCAGGACAGCGUCACCUUCUACCCCAGAGGCACCUCAGAACCUGCUGGUGCCAGGUCCAACCGUCCCUGGCCAAUGUCCCCUUCUCCCUCCAACCCCUGUUGGGGUUGGAAAAUUCCACAGGCUCCUUCCUUCUAUGUUCAAGGAGGGAGAAAGCAGGGACAGGGACAGGGGUAUACAACUGUGAGAAGAGAACACGACAUUAGGAGCAUUCUGCAACCAGACACAAAGCCUUAGCCGCCCUUAGCCUAGAGAACCACAAGCUCUCCACACAAGCUGAACAAGGGCGAAAGGACAUACUCUCAGUCUCUGUCACCACCUUGCCUAUGACUCUGGUUUAGUCCCAGGACAGGGGAGAGGAGGACUCCUUGCAGGAAGCUGCCAUCCCUAGAACAAAUGUUCUAGUUUUAAAGAACUUGGAUCUGCACAAAGGUCAGCCUGUAAAGAGGGAACUGAGGCUCCCAGGAGGGCUUGGCUGGGCAGGGUGCCUGAGCAGGGGAAGGCCAGAGUAGGGGGCGGGGGGUGGGGUGUGUGGGGGGGGUGCUGGCUCUACUAGGUCAGAAUCUGCUCCAGCCUUUCCCAGAGCUUGGAAGGGGUGGGGCUGCAGCUGAAGCAAAGCCUUCUCAGCCUGGGCAGGCGCUCUCUUGCUCCGCACACACCAGCUUCAGUUCUAUCCUUUAGGGGUGGGUGGUGCGUGGUUCAAAUGAGCCACAGCUCUUUAAGGGAUAGAAGUUGUGAGGGUGCCAGUAGUGUUGCCCUAAACCAGGAAAUCAGUGAGGACUCCAACCAGGAGCCCCAAACAUUCUACCCCAAAGGCACACAGCAUGCUAAAAAUAAUGCAGCAACUCCAGAAGGUGAGACAGAAGAGCUGGGAAGGUCAGGGGCAGGUUUGCCAAGUUCCUGGAUCAUUAAGCCUCUGCUGCCCUUGAAGAUGUGGGUGCAGCCUCUCCUUGCCAGUAAGCAUACAUUUGUGUUGUGGUUAAAGACUUUCAACUAGCCUCAGCUGGACAUCACAACCAUGUGCCUUGGCAGGGGUAGAGAUGAAAUAAGGUGUCCAAUCCCACAGGUCAGUUCGGAAAAAGACACCCGUUCCUCCCCCUCCCUGGGUUCCUCGGAUACCUGUUGAUGAAUCCGUAACCAUUCCGGACGUUGAACCAUUUGACUGUGCCCAGGACUUGGAUUGCUGCCAGGCAGAGAUGCAGUGGGGAUAGUAAGAUGGGGGAAGAGACGGGAGUUGGGCUGAGUUUUGAGAGAAAACUAAGCUAAAACCUAACCUGCCUCCCUAAUAAGCUGCGAGUCAACCAGACUUCGCUGGAAGUGUCAAAGUACUCUUAACCCUCUUUCUAAGUGGAAAAACACACAGGGGGGUUUCAGGCUCUCAAACCCACGUUCCUCACAUCCUACGGAGUUCAGGUCUUUCACCUAGAACCGGGUACUCACCUGGUCCACCCUCAGGGUCAAAACUCAACAGCCGUUCUAGCCCUCCUAAAUUUAAGAGACCCCAUCCACCUGCCUCCCAAGCUCAGAGGUUUACCUAACAAGAACCGGAGUCAACUACACCAAGUAUCCCGCAAACAGGGGUGUGGCCAGACCCGGAGGUUUUUAUUUUCCUACCCAAAGCCUUAGCUGAACCUGCCUGCCCCGCCCUCCGGCUCAUGAAGGUGCGGCAAGAUUUCCCUCCAGCGGAAUCCACUAAUAGUUUAUUCGGCAGCUCCGGGACUAGUUAUGAUUAGUCCUUCGGGCCAGGCCUACCUUCGGCUUUCCAGACCCCGCUGCCCCUCCCCCAGCCCGCCGACCCUGAGAGCCGCCCUAGCGCGUGCCCCCCCCUCACCCAGCACCGGCUUGUCCGCCUGACUCCGGGCCGGGGGCGCGGGAGUCCCCGAGGCCGCCGUCGCCUGGUUGCCAGGGGUGCGAGGGCCGGGCGCUGAGGGGGUCCCAGCAGCGGGGCCAGAGGCGGCUCCGCCCCCGCCGCCCGCCCCGCCGCCUGCUUUCUGCGGCUCUCCCGCGGGCACCGGUACCACCACCGCUACCACCCCCGCCGCCGUCGCGGGCACCGUCGCCGCGGGGGCCGCUGUCGCCACCACUGACGCCUCCGCCUCGCUCAUCCCGCCGGGUCCAGUACCGGCCCCCGCCGCCACCGCCUCCUCCGCCGCUGCCACCACCACC